rnacentral:rRNA from 1 species
CUACGCACUCCUACGGGAGGCAGCAGUGGGGAAUAUUGCACAAUGGGCGCAAGCCUGAUGCAGCCAUGCCGCGUGUAUGAAGAAGGCCUUCGGGUUGUAAAGUACUUCAGCAGUGAGGAAGGUGGAUAUGUUAAUAGCAUAUUCAUUUGACGUUAGCUGCAGAAGAAGCACCGGCUAACUCCGUGCCAGCAGCCGCGGUAAUACGGAGGGUGCGAGCGUUAAUCGGAAUUACUGGGCGUAAAGCGCAUGCAGGUGGUUUGUUAAGUCAGAUGUGAAAGCCCGGGGCUCAACCUCGGAAUUGCAUUUGAAACUGGCAAACUAGAGUACUGUAGAGGGGGUAGAAUUUCAGGUGUAGCGGUGAAAUGCGUAGAGAUCUGAAGGAAUACCGGUGGCGAAGGCGGCCCCCUGGACAGAUACUGACACUCAGAUGCGAAAGCGUGGGGAGCAAACAGGAUUAGAUACCCUGGAG